rnacentral:rRNA from 1 species
AUUGAACGCUGGCGGAAUGCUUUACACAUGCAAGUCGAACGAUGAACCUUAGCUUGCUAAGGGGAUUAGUGGCGAACGGGUGAGUAAUAUAUCGGAACGUGCCUUGUAAUGGGGGAUAACUAGUCGAAAGAUUAGCUAAUACCGCAUACGCCCUGAGGGGGAAAGUAGGGGAUCUUCGGACCUUACGUUAUAAGAGCGGCCGAUAUCUGAUUAGCUAGUUGGUGGGGUAAUGGCCUACCAAGGCGACGAUCAGUAGCUGGUCUGAGAGGACGACCAGCCACACUGGAACUGAGACACGGUCCAGACUCCUACGGGAGGCAGCAGUGGGGAAUUUUGGACAAAGGGCACAAGCCUGAUCCAGCCAUUCCGCGUGAGUGAAGAAGGCCUUCGGGUUGUAAAGCUCUUUCGCAAGGGAAGAAAACUUACCAUCGAAUAAAUGGUGAGGCUGACGGUACCUUGAUAAGAAGCACCGGCUAACUACGUG